GAUGAAGAACGUAGUGAAAUGCGAUAAGUAAUGUGAAUUGCAGAAUUCAGUGAAUCAUCGAAUCUUUGAACGCACCUUGCACCCUUUGGCAUUCUGAAGGGUAUGCUCGUUUGAGUGUCAUUGUACUCUCACACUCCCGAUCUUUGCAUUGGGAGCAGUGGACUUGGGUUUGCUGCUUCACCGUCGCUUACCUCAAAUAGGUUAGUGCAACUCUUGGUUGGACAUAGUACGGCGUGAUAAGUGUUCUUCGCCGGUGCCUCGCAAAGAGGGUGGCUGAUCGGGAUGUUGUGCUCCAAACCGUCUUCGGACAAUCUCUGACGACUUGACCUCAAAUCGAGUAAGACUACCCGCUGAACUUAAGCAUAUCAAUAAGCGGAGGA
rnacentral:misc_RNA from 1 species